rnacentral:lncRNA from 1 species
AUUUGUGCCAUGGCUGUCACAGCCACAGAGAGUGUCUUCCCACAACUGAGGCUGGGAAGCCCAGUGUUUACCUAGGGGUGACUGGCGGGAGAGGAUGGCCCAGUACCCAUCCAAGGUGGCCCCAAGACACCUCUGUGGAAGCCCAGAGCUCUGAGGAACACUUUUGGAAAACCGUUGCCGUACUCCAAGCUCCUCAUCUUGCAAGUGGGGUUGCUGAGGUCUUAAGUCAUCCUGGGAGUUGUCCAGACACGAUCCCAGGUCUACUGCCCUCCAACCCUCUCUGGCCGCACCUCAUCUUGUGCCGUUUCCUAUCACUCAAGUCAAGUCUCCCAGAAAGAGCUGUCAUGGGGAGGAGAAAGUUCCCUGAAAUGCAGAAACCAGACCCGGAAGUACUCAGGGCCUCUCUCUUCACCUGGCGUGUCCUGUUUCACCUCUAGGUCCCAGUGGAAUGAUGACUUCCUCUAAGAAGCCCUCACUGACCCCCUCAGACGGUUGCAUGAGCAUGUCGUCUCCAUGCAUGCUGCUCUCCAUUCCGUGUGGCUCUGCCCUAUGUAGGACCAGUUACCCACUGCAACGAAAUACAUGGUUAUGAAUUGUCUUUUGUCUGUUCAACGUCUAUCUUCCCCUAUGAAGGCAAAGGACGGUGCCUGUUUUGUCUCACAGGCUGAGUAUGGUGAUUGGCACAUAGUAGAGUUUCAGUAAAUAUUUGCUGACUGACUGAAUGAUUCCAGGCAUCAUUGCUUGGAUUCCUGCCAAAUGCUGGGAUUGGAACUGUGGAAGUCAUAUGCGUGAUCCUACCUCGUAUAUGCAUGAUCUGCAGGCUUGGCUUGCUCUUAAAAGGGCUCUUAAAGCACCUGGGGUGAAAAUAUUUAUGAAUGAGACUCAGAGACGGUUAGUAACUUGCUCAUAGUCAUCCACCUGGCUAGCUGCAAAUCACAGCUUGAGCUCAGUUCUUAGUAACUCUGAAGACCACUCUCUCUUUCCCUUCUUCACUGCACUUCCAGUAGAUUCCAAAUUCAGUGAGCAUCAGAACUCCCUGGGGUGUUUGUAAAAAUGCAGAUUGCUGGGCUUCAUCCUCAAUGCUCCUAGUUUAUUAGAUCUAGAGGCAGGCCUGCCCCAGUGCACCCAGGGCCCCAGGCCAGUAAUUUUUUUUUUUUUUGCAGGCAAGGCAAAACACUUUGAGUCACUCAAAAUCAUGUGAACACCGUCC